CGGAGCAGAGAGGAAGGCCGUGUGGUCGUAAGACUAUCCUGCACACGUUCCCUGGAAGAGUUCAGCCUUCAGCAGCACUAACCUGGCUCCUCAGCCUAAACUCACCUCUCGAACGUGUGGGAUGCUACGGCAGUACGGCGAUGGCAAGCUACUACAGCUUUCACAGCUAUCACACGGCACGUCAUAACUGUCCAGGAAACCCUACAAUUCCUCAAGUACUUCUUGUUUCUGACAAACAUCCUUCCUGCCCUUCACAAAGAGUAUUACAUCGUGCAGAAACGGUUAUGAAAAUCACGCCGGAUCAAGGGCAAACCGUGCUAACGUGAGAGGGAUCGGUCCGGCAGUGAUGACUAUGGUAUGAGUAAGCAGCCAGACACACGUGGCUAGCUCCAUUUUGAAAGCAGGGAAACUGAGGCAAGGAAAGGCACGCGAUGCUUCACCAGGCUAACGCGGGCAGUGCUUGGCAGAGGAAGCUCCACUGCAGAUGCUCUGUGGCCCAGAAACUCCACGCCCCAUUGCCUGGCCAGGCAGCUUCUACAGCAUCACCUCGGGGGAGAGAGACCCAUCACGGACUGCAGAGAGGCCGCCACCGCAUGCCAGGACCUCUGCGUGCACACGGUGCUGGAUGCGGAAUCACAGCCUCCCCGUGCAGUUGCCCUCGAGCUCCUGCUGCUCAUGACACGCUGUCACCUGACGGACCGGGACCAGCUCCGGGCGGAAGCGAGCCCGCUGCAUGUUAGCAGACUGGAGGGAAUUUGGACUUGGAUUGCCCAAAGCGGUGAGGUUUCCAGGCUGAUGGCAGCUUGGAUGCUGAUCUCCUUACAGGACUUUGAAGACUGCAUCCUCACAGCUUUCCCUGCACUUGCGUGCAAACAUUUUUGUUGCAAGGCAAGAGGGUGAGGAGGAGUCAGCGGAGCCGAUAAACAUGGUGCAAUUGAGCAACCCAAUAAACUUUAUCCAAUUUGUCUUACA
rnacentral:lncRNA from 1 species